rnacentral:tRNA from 1 species
AAGAGGCGUAUAUAAACCAUUAGAGCUGCUAACUCAA